rnacentral:rRNA from 1 species
AAGAGAUCGGGAUAACACCUGGAAACAGAUGCUAAUACCGGAUAACAACAGAUGAUGCCUAUCAACUGUUUAAAAGAUGGUUCUGCUAUCACUCUUGGAUGGACCUGCGGUGCAUUAGCUAGUUGGUAGGGUAACGGCCUACCAAGGCGAUGAUGCAUAGCCGAGUUGAGAGACUGAUCGGCCACAUUGGGACUGAGACACGGCCCAAACUCCUACGGGAGGCAGCAGGGG